AGUAGGCAGGUGUGCUGAAAAGACCAACAGCAAACCCAGAGUAGGCUUAGCCUCUGACAGUGACCACAAGAGACAAGUGGCUGAGAACACUCUGGCUCCAUGAGCCAGGCCUCUGGAUUGAGGCUGCAAGUGGGAAACAAGGCCUCAAUCUGCCCAAACCCAGGGCCUUCGGGGCAUGACUUUUAAGUGGACAAACUUGCCACCUUACAAUGGAAAGUGUCACGAAACAAGCCAAGAGCAGAGCAGCUAGUUUCACCAGUUGCUCCCCUCCAUGACAGAUUCCCCAAGGAAGAAGAUACCAUUGCCAUGGGCCAAAGUUCUAGAAGUGGGCUGCUGUCCUGUCCAAAUGAUAAGGUAGAAAGUAGAUGCUGCUGGAAAUAGAGAAGGAAAUUCACUAAAUAUUCAUUUUCACAUUGUUCCCACACCAAAAUACUCAGAAGUCACCAUUACACUGGACUGCUGCGGGGCACAUACAGAUUAUCAUACAGUUAGCACGAUUUACACCAGACAUUUGCAGAUCAAAGCAAUUUUCAAUACAUAAGCCAAAGCACCUAAAAAAUGUUUCAAGAUCAGAAUGAAGCUCGAACUCCCAUAGUUAUUAGGAAUAUGAUUACCAAGACUGUGGAUAUUUCAAGGUCAGUGUCUUUCCUCUUGUCGAGCUGUGUUUUGGCAAUUUCACUGCUGACCCAAACUUGUACCCAAGAAAUCAACUGAGAUUAACAGACAAAACUCAGUGUCCUCCUCCAUUAUUGCUACUGAAUGCAUUUAUGAGCAUUCAAAAUGCUUAAAUAUAAAAAUGACCGUAAGGCCCAAGGAAAGAGACAUAUAUAAUAAGUGAUCUAUACCAUUUCAAUAUAAUUAACGCUUCCAGACAGAAUGGUUAUCCUAUAUUAAUUAUAUAAACUAGCUCAUUCCAACAUCCCCAGUAAUAAAUUUCAAUUUACCAUGAAAAAAAAUUCAAGUACAUGGGUCAAUUGUCUUCAGCUUCCCAGAAUACACCUGACUCCCAAGCAGGGGGGCUGCAGUACACAAAGGACUGCUGUGAGUCCAGCAUGUGCACACAUAACCACACCCACGCUGCUCGCUCUGGUCAUGGCCAAGCCUUCCUGGCUUCUACUGCUACUGACUUCCAGGAAAACGCCAGGGUGGUAUGCAGCUGAAUCAGUUCAGUUUGGUGCUUUUCACGGCUCCAGUUUAUAAGCUGAAUCAUAGGAACAGUAACACUCAUUGCCUGUGUCUUUGCUCACACAUUCUCUGCCCACUCCAUGGCUCCCUUGUCUCUCCACACCCUCAAGAGAUCACAGUUUCCCAAAACAUAGUUAUGCAUGCAAUAUUUUUCUCAAAUAGACAAGUUAAAUUUUAGAAACAGGAAUUUGCAGAAUCUAUGCCCACAAUUCUUCCCAUUCACAUUUGUAUGCUUUAUAACUUAAGCAUGGAAAGUCUGUUGAGCUUCUAUUGUUUUAUGCUUUAAAGUUUAUUCUAAAGUCAUCUUGAGGUCAUUCUCAGCUCUUUAGAUAAAUAACUGAUAUUGUGCUAAACGAUCUUGGGGAUUCUGUGUGUUUCAUGCACUUUCAGAUUCACUUUACACACUCUGAAGGUUUUGUUUUUUUUCUGGUAGUCACAAAUAUUAAAUAAAAAUAUUUAUUUUUGUGCAUAUCUAAAAGCAAAAUUCCUCAGUGAUUUAUGCUUCUAGAAAGUAUUCAUAAGACAGAAGACAUAA